rnacentral:rRNA from 1 species
GACGAACGCUGGCGGCGUGCUUAACACAUGCAAGUCGAACGGAAAGGCCCUGCUUUUGUGGGGUGCUCAAGUGGCGAACGGGUGAGUAACACGUGAGUAACCUGCCCUUGACUUUGGGAUAACUUCAGGAAACUGGGGCUAAUACCGGAUAGGAGCUCCUGCUGCACGUUGGGGGUUGGAAAGUUUCGGCGGUUGGGGAUGGACUCGCGGCUUAUCAGCUUGUUGGUGGGGUAGUGGCUUUCCAAGGCUUUGACGGGUAGCCGGCCUGAGAGGGUGACCGGCCACAUUGGGACUGAGAUACGGCCCAGACUCCUACGGGAGGCAGCAGUGGGGAAUAUUGCACAAUGGGCGGAAGCCUGAUGCAGCAACGCCGCGUGCGGGAUGACGGCCUUCGGGUUGUAAACCGCUUUCGCCUGUGACGAAGCGUGAGUGACGGUAAUGGGUAAAGAAGCACCGGCUAACUACGUGCCAGCCGCCGCCGUAAAAC